UUAGGGCAUUCAUGCCUUUCUACAAGAAAGUUCAUGCUAAGUCUGGAUCGAAACCUUGUGCAGGCCAACAAUGCUUCCCACAUUUCUCUGCUAUGCGUGAUCUUCACAAACUACUAGAGCUUCAACAUCCACUAUCCAUCCACCGGAGCUGGCAUCAACUUUGGAGUUUCUACAGAGAUGCUUUUUCUCCAUCAACCCAGAGAGAGACAGACCAGAGUGGACAAGAAGGGCAAAUCUCGUCUCAUCUUGAACCCAAGAGUCCUAACCUUGAUUCAGGAACGGUCAGAUUUUGAGUGGAGAGGCGUGUAAACACUGUAAGCAACAUUGCAAGCAUAGUUUUAAGGUUUUUUGUUCUUUGUUAAUCUCUUGCAAAAAAAAAGUGAUUACAUAGUUUUCUGUUUUAGGUGCAAUGUUUUUUAAUAAUGUUUUAUUAUCUACAAAUGAUAAACAUUUGCUGUGUUUAGAGGCGAAAGGUUGAGUAAAAUAAAUGAAUGUAA